UAAACACAAUAAGAUAUGUGACAAGAUGAGAGAGCUUCUGAUGUUUCUCUUUAGGUAUCUCAGUUUAAGGGGUUGACUUUCCUUCUCUGAGCAGGGAAUGCCUGAGAUAUAAAUGUCUAAUUACUCAACAUUUGGAAGCCUGUGUCAACAACUGAUCACCAAGGAUACCACACAGAAAGACAUGAAAACAAACCUCAAAGAGUCACCAUGGGAUGUAACAUCUGUUUGAGAAUUCUCCCUGGAAAAUGUCUUCCAACAUGCAAGAAGAGGGCUGGCAGCUGACACGAAACUACUACUACAAUCUACAAGCCAAGAAAAGCAUUCUCAGAAGAAAUCAAUCUUGCUUGAACUUGGACUCCAUUCUUCAGAUCUAUGUGAAAAUACAGUUCUGCUGUGUAAACCACGUGGUCUGUAGUAUUCUGUUAAGGAGCUGGAGUAAGCCAACCCAAUGGGCUUUUCUAUGGCAGUCACAUAACCAAAGAAUUCCAAUGCAUAUAAAUACAAACACUAGGUGUAAAAAGACAGUAGCAAUCUAAUAAAAUGUGAAUCUCACACUG